rnacentral:rRNA from 1 species
CUUUUACAAUGGAGAGUUUGAUCCUGGCUCAGGAUGAACGCUAGCGGCAGGCCUAAUACAUGCAAGUCGAACGGGGCA